rnacentral:lncRNA from 1 species
CAGAAAUUUAUUAAAUGAGCUAUCAAGCUGGCUAUAGUUUAGCCAUUGAUACUAUCAGAGAUCUGAGAAGGAUAAAUUUUAUACAGAUUUGGAAUCUAUUAAAAAUGACAGGGUCCAGUCCAUAUACAGUUAGCCAUAUCCAUAGCCAAUAGCAAGUCUCUAUUGGCAGGCAGAAGUAUUAAAGAACAGCAUCCAUCUUUGCCAGGCCUACAAGUGGAACAGGAAGAGUUUUUCCGUGAAACGCGUGCCCUACCAGGCCCUGAGAAGGCACGACAUUCCGAAAACAAACCAUGUGGAACAGAGCCAGUGAAAGAAGAAAACUGUCAGUGACCAAAAUAAAAGGCAAAAAGCACAGCUGAGCACUGAGACAAACAUUUGCAGCAUGCCUUUCAGGCUGUGACUGUGACCUUUUCACCCCCGGGGUUUCCACCAUGCGGCAAGACUCCCUAUUCCCCCAAAUAAACGGCAUUCUGCUUGCAC